ACGCAGUAGGCGGUAGCAGCAGUCGGUCGGUUAGAGAGUACGGCAGAAGGUCGCGGUACGUCGUGGCGCAUUUCAACUUACAUCCUCGUCGUUCUCUACGAGUUUUUGACGCGAGCGAGUGUUUCGAGAGAGCCGUGGAGUAUCAAAAGCGAAGUGAAGUGUCGGGCUUUCGUACCAACAUCCGUCGUCGUGUCGAUGCAUGUUGUGAAGUCGUGCCGCGUUCAAUCGUGUUUUGCGUCUUCUCCGUUACCUCGUAUCCCGACUCCCGAGUUUUAGACGCAUGUGAGUACUAGGAGUGUUUCAGCAAGUUUCAGUUCGUUUGGGGCCGCCUACAAGGUCGGACGUUAUCGCCCGUUACUUAUAUUUUGAUGUAUGUCGUACGGUACAUACAUCACGUAUGUACAAUCGGCUGCCGGGACAACUACACUGUCAUCGUUUCGUGCUUUGAAUCCUCGGGAGAGUCACAUCGAACCUUAUUUGAAGUACGGUCGUAUUGUCUCCGCGAUAUAAUAGAGAGACGUAAUUGAACCAUUUAUUGACUGAACUGAAUGAAACCAGGAGCAUUUUGAGAGUGUCGAAAACGAAGGCUCGUGCCAAUUAAGCGUAAAUCAAGAAGAGGAGGAUUAUUGGAAGGGGAAUCUUGGACGGACUCGAACGGUCGAGAGCUGCGGGCAAGACGGAGCUGGAUGGAGCGAUCAGCGGCAAAUGGUAGGCUCAUCUUUGCAGAUGGCAACUUGGAAAAUUUUUUCCGUGUGGGAAUGAAUACUGGUCGUCGCAUACCAUUUAAUGUUACCAGUACGUCAUAGGCUGAAGUCUCGCUACCGCAGUGAGGACAAACGCCUUUUUUGUUCGGAUAUAUCUCACAUUCGCGAUGGUACUGAUGGCCAUUGGUACACUGCACGAACCUGCCUUGUGAGCAGAACAUGCCGCAUGAAGGACAGCAAUUGUGGCGCAGCAAUCGUUCCUUGUGCAUACGACAGAGAAUAAUAAAAGCUUAGAUGAUACUGACUUCACUCAUAAUUGCUGUCGACUCCGGCUUCGAUGCUUGUCCUUCCGCGGGACUCGGGCUCGACACCAUACUCCGGCGAGUUCGUUUGACUGGUCUAUAUGGAAAGGUCUUGGAAAGUUUUGUGUACCAAGGUCAAACAGUGAGCACAUAUUAUAUAUAGGAUGUACAUUUUUGGAUUAUAGUUCAGGAUCCAAGUCUCAGAGAAUUCUCUAGAAAAUUUAUUUAUGAAUGUUUUAGAAAGAACUCGUGGAUUAGUGUUUCUUGAACAAAUGAUUCAAUAUUGUUUAACCAACAGUUGAAAAAGAUCUGAACCUUCCCUGUAAGCGCUAGACGAAUAUUAUUAAAAAUUAAAAUAAUAUUGUGAGAAUUUUAUAUUUUUUAAUAUUAUAGGAAUAUUGUAAUAAUGUUAUACGUCCGUUUUAUAUAAUGUUUGAGGAAUAUUACUUAAUAUUAAAUAAUAUUGUAACGCUUAUAGGGUUAAGUCGAAACGUCGUAAACAAGUUUAACUAAUAAACAGUUUACCAAUUUAUCGACUAAA